rnacentral:lncRNA from 1 species
GAAAGUUUGUCCACCUCGACUAUUGCUCCUCGUUCUUUGCGGUCUUUCUCUUUCGCUGUUACUGCUGCGAUAGAGGGUGAUAGAUUUGGCCAAAAAUCUGGUAACCACAGUUGCUUCAUCAGAUUUGGCUACUGCUUUAUCAGAUUUACUCUUAGAUUCCGACCAGAGUUUUUAUUUUUUUGAUAGACUUCGUUAACUCCGGCGAAACCAUGUUAUCUUAGUAGCGCUAGCGCCGCCAGUGUCAUGAAGAUUCUCUCUAUCUCGUUUGUACCAGAUUUGGGCAGAAUUUUUAAAGAAGAAAAGCUUUGUUUGUGAUUGGGUUCAAACAAAAAUAUUUUUGUUUUCUUCACUUUCAAAUUCGAUUUUAUUUUUGUUUCAAAACAAUAGAGUUUGAUUGAGCCGAGGUUGAUGCGAGAUCGCUGCCGUUGUUGAUGGCUUUUCGAGUCCCUGCAACGAUUGGUUGCUGUUACGUCAAAAUUACAUUGUCGGAUCUUCUGUAUUUGAUUCCAAAAGAAUUACAUUGCCGGAUCCGUCAAAAUUCAAGGUUUUUGCACAUUCAGG